rnacentral:lncRNA from 12 species
CGGGUCCUCAGUCGCCUCCUUCCCCCAGGGAGGGCUGGCUCUAGAGGAGUGGAGUCGGCUAUGAGCUAGGGCAGAGCACCAGCAGGAGCAACUCUGCAAACCCAAUUUAACCAAGAGAGCUUUUUACUCACUAUAUUCCCUCGCUCACUUUUGAUUCCAAUAUUGAUCAAAUGCCCACCGUUUCACAUCUUUAUGGUAAUAGUGGCAAAUGAAUUCAUUUAACGACUGGGGGAGAGGGGGACGGCGGUGGGAGCGUUUCAAGUGUUCAGCGGAGGAAAACUUCCCAGGGCAACUUCUCCCUAGGACCCUCCCACAUCCCCUCUUAAUGGUGGGACUUUUUUUUUUCAUAAUGUGCACAAUACUAUUAAAAUUUCAUAUUAGCAGUGUGUAUGGUGAACUUUGUAAUGGGAAAUUCAAUAGCUGCUGUAAAUAUUAAUGGAAUAUGAAAUGAAGCCACAGCCUCGACCAGCCCUGACAGUAAAACGGAGUGAGCAUGUGGCGGCCCCGGGGCGAGAGAGGCCUUUCCUCUUGUCGCUCUCGCUUUAUUACAUUAGCGCGGGCCUCCCCGCGCCGGCGUGGGCUCAGAAGCCGAGGCGCCGGGUCACCCAUGACAAAUGUCCCCGUGUCUCGCCAACAGGCCCCGCCUGGCCCUGCCACUCCAUCUGCCCAACAGGUCCCCGGAGAGUGCUUGCGGGUGUCAGUUUCAGAGCCUAAACAUCUUCACUGGAUUCAUCACAGCAUAAACACAAACACAUCCGUGUUCACCGCAAAGAGUACCGUAGAAAUCCUGAGGGCUCGCCGUGUGUUUGACACUCUACAUACACCAUCGAGUUAAUCUGCCAACAGUCCUGUGAAGGAGGGAUCAUAAGCAGUGACGAAAGCUCAACAAGGUAGGGGACGUGACCAAGAUCACUCCGAUCACUCACAAUCAUGGCACUGCUACUGCUUUCCAUAUGAGUCUAGAAAAAAAAUUCACUGAUGUUGGGAGCAGAAGCCAAUGUUCUAGAUAACCUACAACUAACCAUUAAUUAUUUUAAAUCACAUCAUUCUGUCUUUUACUUUAUGAAAACAAAUGG